UGCGUAGGUGGCGCGCUAAGUCAGGUGUGAAAUUUCGGAGCUUAACUCCGAAACUGCAUUUGAUACUGGCGUGCUUGAGGACUGGAGAGGAGACUGGAAUUCACGGUGUAGCAGUGAAAUGCGUAGAGGUCGUGAGGAAGACCAGUGGCGAAGGCGGGUCUCUGGACAGUUCCUGACACUGAGGCACGAAGGCCAGGGGAGCAAACG
rnacentral:rRNA from 1 species